GAUGAACGCUGGCGGCGUGCCUAAUACAUGCAAGUCGAGCGAACAGACGAGGAGCUUGCUCCUCUGACGUUAGCGGCGGACGGGUGAGUAACACGUGGAUAACCUACCUAUAAGACUGGGAUAACUUCGGGAAACCGGAGCUAAUACCGGAUAAUAUAUUGAACCGCAUGGUUCAAUAGUGAAAGACGGUUUUGCUGUCACUUCUAGAUGGAUCCGCGCCGCAUUAGCUAGUUGGUAAGGUAACGGCUUACCAAGGCAACGAUGCGUAGCCGACCUGAGAGGGUGAUCGGCCACACUGGAACUGAGACACGGUCCAGACUCCUACGGGAGGCAGCAGUAGGGAAUCUUCCGCAAUGGGCGAAAGCCUGACGGAGCAACGCCGCGUGAGUGAUGAAGGUCCUCGGAUCGUAAAACUCUGUUAUUAGGGAAGAACAAAUGUGUAAGGAACUAUGCACGUCGUGACGGUACCUAAUCAGAAAGCCACGGCUAACUACGUG
rnacentral:rRNA from 1 species